GACGAACGCUGGCGGCGUGCCUAACACAUGCAAGUCGAACGGGGUAAUUACUUCGGUGAUUACUUAGUGGCGAACGGGUGAGUAACGCGUGAGAAACCUGCCUUUCAGUGGGGGACAACAGUUGGAAACGACUGCUAAUACCGCAUAAUGUUAUUUGAGGGCAUCCUCGAAUAACCAAAGCUUUAUGUGCUGAAAGAUGGUCUCGCGUCUGAUUAGCUAGUUGGUGAGGUAACGGCUCACCAAGGCGACGAUCAGUAGCCGGUCUGAGAGGAUGAACGGCCACAUUGGGACUGAGAUACGGCCCAG
rnacentral:rRNA from 1 species